CACUACCAGUCAGUUGACUCACUGUACAAGACCUCUCCCCUUCACUCUACUGCAGGGUGGGAGAUGCAACAAUGGCCUUGAGAACAGCAGGAAGUGUGUUGGUGGUCUUUCUCUGGUCUGUAGCAGGUCUGCAGGUGAAGGUGACUCCUGCUGCAGAGGGACAGAAGACACUGACCUGUAUCACCACCUGUACUCUGACUGACAACCCCACCUACAUCUGGUACAAGAAUGGACAGAAUGUACAAGAUAACUCCUCCCCCAUGUACUCCAUCAGCAGUGAGGAUGCAGACAGUUACUACUGUGCUGUAAAAGGCCAAGAGGAUCUCAGAUCUCCUG